rnacentral:tRNA from 1 species
GGAUCCAUCACCUAGCCUGGAUUGGGUGCUGGACUUCUAAUCCAGAUGUCGCAGGUUCAAAUCCUGCUGGAUCCG